UCGCGAAAACUCCGCAAUGCACGAAAGUGUGACGGGGCUACCCCGAGUGCCAUCCGCUGAGGAUGGCUUUUCCUUGGUGUAACUAGCCGGGGGAAUAAGGAGAGGGCAAGACUGGUGUCAGCCGCCGCGGUAAUACCAGCUCUCCGAGUGGUAGGGAUGUUUAUUGGGCUUAAAGCGUCCGUAGCCGGCUUAGCAAGUCUCCUGUUAAAUUCAGCGACCUAAUCGUUGAGCCGCGGGAGAUACUACUAGGCUAGGAGGCGGGAGAGGUCGACGGUACUUCUGGGGUAGGGGUGAAAUCCUAUAAUCCCGGGAGGACCACCAGUGGCGAAGGCUGUCGACUAGAACGCGCUCGACGGUGAGGGACGAAAGCUGGGGGAGCAAACCGGAUUAGAUACCCGGGUAGUCCCAGCUGUAAACGAUGCGGGCUAGGUGUUGGGGUGGCUACGUGCCA
rnacentral:rRNA from 1 species